UACGAAGGGGGCUAGCGUUGCUCGGAAUCACUGGGCGUAAAGGGUGCGUAGGCGGGUCUUUAAGUCAGGCGUGAAAGCCCCGGGCUCAACCUGGGAACUGCGUUUGGGACUGGUUUGCUAGAGAUCGGGAGAGGAGAGUGGAAUUCCCAGUGUAGAGGUGAAAUUCGUAGAUAUUGGGAAGAACACCCGUGGCGAAGGCGGUUCUCUGGGACGGUAC
rnacentral:rRNA from 1 species